rnacentral:lncRNA from 1 species
GCCUAUGUCAAGAGAUAAAUGGCUGAUAAAUUAGAUGAUAGAUCUAUAGUAGCUCAUUUUAUAGAGUAUCCAAAAAAAUCCAUGGGAUACUACUUCUACUUUUCACAAGAUCAUAAUGUGAUUAUGAGUCGGAAUGCCAUAUUCCUAGAAAAAUAGUUUAUCCAGGAUGGUGGUAGUGGGAGGUUAGUUGAGUUCAAAAAGAAGGUCUUUG